GCAAAAAUGUUCUCAAUCCGUGGGAAAUGGCUUGUACAAACGUGGCAACACUGGUCUGGUGGUAAGCGACGAGGCAGGGAGGCCGAACACAACACGGCGCCGGGAGAGGCAGAGACGAAGAAACUUGGCCGAAUAUUACACUCUACAGCAAGCCGACUGUGCCGUGGACAGGACGGAAGCAAGACAGUGAGGUGUGUGUGACAAGGGGAGUUGAGCGCAGUGUCUCCAAGCAGCUGCAGCGGCAAGGCUGACAGGAUGUUUGGGAUCAGCAGUGGUCAACAGGUGAUGCUGGUGUGGAGUCAGCCCGUGGAUGGCGAUGACCUUAAGAGUUUGGUGGAGCAGCUCAAGUCCACUGUGGGCCCAGAAGGACGUGUGGCAGUAGAAAACUCAGAGAUGCUGUCUUCGUCGGCCCACACGUCCAGCUCCCUUGACCACGCGCUGGCCUGUGUGCUGCCUCCCUUUGUGGCUGAGUGUCCCUCCGGCGUGCUGAGUGAGGUCCUAAGGGUGCUGCGGCCUGGUGGUAGUCUCACCUUGCGCACCACAGACUCAGCAGCCCUGCGGUCCUCCCUCACCCUGGCCGGCUUCACCUCCAUCUCCCCGGCUGGCAAUGCAAAUCUCACCGACGAACAGAAACGUGACCUGGUGACCUCAGUAGUGGAGGUGACCUGUAAGAAACCGGAUUUUGAAGUCGGGUCAUCGCUGCGUCUCCCAGGGGCCAAACCAGUGACGACCGGGACGUGGAACAUCAACUUAGAUGACGACCUCGACCUGGCAAGCCCCGAUGACCUACUGACAGAGGAGGACCUGACCCGACCCGACCCAGCGAGCCUGAAGGUGUGCGGCACAACUGGCCAGCGCAAGGCCUGCAAGAACUGCGUGUGUGGCCUGAAGGAGGAGCUGGAGGAUGAGGACAAGCAAAAGAAGGAAGAGGACAGGAAGAACUUCAAGUCAUCCUGUGGGAGUUGUUACCUUGGUGAUGCCUUUCGUUGUGCCUCCUGCCCCUACCUCGGCAUGCCAGCCUUCAAACCCGGCGAGAAGGUGAAGCUGGCCGACACCACCCUCAAGGACACCACCUGAGCCUCAUCACCGCUGCAGGGGGAGUGGCCGCACCUGUGAUACACCUGUUCUUUUGCCCCCACCCCCACCCCAACUUACUGUUAGAUUCCCAGCAACAUUCAAGAAUACACUCACAAUCCACCAUUUCUAACCCACCCCGGACAAGACAGGCAGUUCAGAAGUGUGGGCUGUCUAGAUGGAUGCCCACACUGGCUACCACACCAACCCACACAUACUCCAACACUGCUAGGGCAACACACACACCCUCCAACACUGCUAGGGCAACACACACAUGCUCCAACACUGCUAGGGCAACACACACACCCUCCAACACUGCUAGGGCAACACACACACAUGCUCCAACACUGCUAGGACAACACACACAUGCUCCAACACUGCUAGGACAACACACACUUGCUCCAACACUGCUAGAGCAACACACACAUGCUCCAACACUGCUAGGGCAACACACACACACUGUAACACUCCUGAGCCACGUGUCGAUCUCCCUGUGGACUGAAUCAUGUUGUAAUGCUUCUGAAUAUAAUAAGAGGUCGAGAAGUGGUUCGGGAGUGUUGGAGUGUGUGUUGCCCUGUGCUGGUCAGUGUGGGUGUCUACAGUGGGUUAGAAACUAUGGGUUGUUAGUGUGUAUUUCUCUAUACAUACAGGCAAAAUUACCUCAUUAUUUCAUUUACUAAAUUCCCAGAAACAUAUCAAGAGGUGUAUUUUGGAUUUCUCUCUUACAAUUACCAUUAUAAUUUCUGCGUCCAUUACUAGAUUCCAACAAAUAUAUUAAGAGGUGCAUAACUCUUACAAAUAUGCAACAUUACUUCUUUAUUUCUUUACCUUUCUCUAAGUAAUCCGUCAGACACACACGCAAGGUCUCGGCAUGCUUAGUUCCCACCACCAAACUCGACACCAUCACUUGUUUUCUUAAGAUUCCAACAAAUAUAUUAAAAGGUGCAUUUGUCUCCUACAUUACCAUCAUUGCUAGGUUCCUAUAGCUGUAUUAACUGGUGCAUUUCUCUCCUACAAAUAGCAGUCUUCUAUCUUUAUGUAUAGCUAGCUGGCAGUCCCACACAGGGCAGCCCGGACAAGGCACCACACACACACACUCAUAGACCACCUUACUACCCUAUCUAUUUAUCUUCCUAUCUCUGUACCAGGCUGCCAGUCCCACACAGGGCAGCUCAGACAAGGCACCACACACACACACACACACACACACACACACACACACAGCCCCACCAAGUCCCUCUAGUUCAGUAAGGCACACCAACUUAAACCUCAAAUAUACAGGUAUUUAAUGGUGUUGUCUUCUUUGCAAGACAACAAGUGUAGUAGAGUAAUAAUGUGUAUAUAUAUAGCUUGUAAGUUGUGUGUCUGUGUGUGUGUGUGUGUGUGUAUGAGUGUAUGAGGAGGAAGAGUGAGUGUGUGUGUUUUUUGAAGUGUUUUUUUUUUUAAGGUUAUUAAGUUUGGUAAGUGAUUUUGUGAUGAUUUUGCAGAGUUAGAGAUAUUUAUUUAGUGUUUUCAUUGUGUGUGUUUGUGUGUGUGAGAAUGUAAUGCUGGAGGUUGUUGUUAUAAUUACUAAUGGGUGCUAAAAGAAUUAUUAUUUCAGUUCAUAGGAAACCCAGUUGAUUUAUUUAGCAUUUUCAUGGUGUGUGAAUGUAAUGUAGGAGAUUAUUAUUAUUAUUAUUAUUAUUAUUAUUAUUGGGUGUUGAAAGAAUUAUCAUUUCAGUUUGUAGCAAAACCAGUUAUUUAUUUAGGAUUACCAUGGUGUGUGAAGGUAAUGUUGGAGAAUAUUACUAUUAUUAUUAUUAGUAGUAGUAGUUGUAGUGGGUGGCGAGAGGAUGGUGGGUAGUAAAUAUUCACAGUUGAGUUGAAUUAGUAUACAUUCAUUGUGUACAUAGAUAAGCAUUCCUAGCCACAGAAAAUAAAACUAUAUGAGAAAUUGAA